rnacentral:lncRNA from 1 species
AUGUUGGCAGAGACCAUGUUUCUCUCCAGCUGCUCCAGUGGAAAUCAUCACAUUACAAUUUUCCAGUGUAGACUAUGGAGAGAGAGAGACAGAGAUAAGAAAGAGAGGGUUAAGCUGCAUCUGGUUCUUACAGGGCAACAAAAAGAACAGUUUAUCCAUGAGUUAAAAGAAGCAUGCAAGCACACUGUAGUUAAAAAUAUUAAAAGACCAAGAAAAGAUAUAUUGAUGCUCACGGAACUAUGGCGGAAGCUCACUGGGGCAUGCCUUCAGCACAGGGUGAAAGUUUUGGGGCAGCACUUGAUGGGUGGACAGGACUUUCUGGAUCUUGUCCAAACAGAUCUUGUUUGCUGCUAUCCCUUCUUCAAACUCUUAGCAUUUCUCUUCCUUCUCUGCUUCUUGGGACUGCUGGUGGUAGGCGGUUUGCAUCUGAAGUUGCUUCCUGUACUCCUGGGCUAAACGUUGGUUUCUUGCAGAAUUCUCCUUCUCUUCAGAGUUAAAUUCUUUAAGACCUUCAUUUAUGUGUUUCUGUUCCACAGCACGUUCUUCCUGUGUUUUAGCUUCUCACUGAAACUUUUCUUGAAUUUCAAGUUUUCUUGUACACAUGACCUCAUCCACAAGCUGUCUCCUUGCCUCCUUUUCAAGUCUCAGCUCCUUGUUCUUCUGAGCCAACUUCUUAUUCUUGUCUUCCUCUAAUAUUCUGUCAAAUUCUUUCUCCUGAACUUUUUCUUCCUUGCAUUUCUGUGCCAAAUAUUUGAUAUAUCUUCUGUUCUCUUAUCAUAUCUUCUCUUUUUUGUUUCUUUUUAUCUGCCUUUUCCUGUAAGUCUUGAAGGGCCAUCUGCAUGAGCUUCAUGUUCAAAUCCUGUUCUUCUGAUUCCUGCUGAAUAUGCUCUAUCCUCUCUUGUAGAGCCUUUUGCAAAAUGGUCCUAGUUUCCUGCUUUGCCUUCUGUUUUUUUUAGUUUAUCCUGUUCAUUCUUAUGUUUAAUCUGUGCAUUGUUACUUUCCACAAGGCGCGCCUCCUCUUCCUUCAGUAGCUGUGCCACCUGCCUUUGCGCCUUGAUGCUGGUGAUCUGGGCAUUGAGCCCCAGGCAUGUGUUCUCCAUCAACUCUUUCCAUCUCCUGUCUUCUUGGGCUUCUCGCUUUCCCUUGGCUAAACGAUCUUCCUCCCAGAGCUUGGAGAACAUCUGCUCUUCAACCACCUCUUGCCUCCUCAGCUCCUUAUUAAAUGUGAUCUGUGCUUUUUACUCCUCACACACCUUCUUCUGAUGGAUACAAAACAAUUCAACAUGGAGCUCCUCACAGCAUUCCCUGAACUGCUGGUCUACCUUUUCAGCUACACAAUCCUGCCUUUCUUUUUCAUUCUUCUCUUUUAGUAAUUUAGUUUUCUCUCUCAUCCUAUCAUUUUUCUCCUUGAUGGUUUCUUUCUUCAACUGCAUUUCUGUAAAAUACUCAUUUUCUUCUAAUACUGAAAAUUCAUAUAGCUUAUUUCGCCUUUCUUCAAUGUUAAGGAUAAACCUUUGCACGGCAUCCUUGAUUCUUGCUCUCACAAGGUUGUCCAAAAACUUGCAAUAAUGGUGUUGAUCCCACUCAGCUUUCAAAAGAUCCCACUUAUUUGACUUAAUGGAAGCCAAAACAGCAUUAUGUUUCUGAUGGCUGUGUCAGAUUCUUUCUAACACAGCCCCUUGGCCUUUAGGAGGCUUGGGUCUCACAUCAGGUGGCACCUGUUCCCUCAAGAAAGCCCUGGUUGGGGCCAUGGUGGACUUGGCCAGACCUGGAGUAUGUAGGGAUGGAGAAAGCUGUAGGGUCCGGCACAAACAUUCUGUGCUUAUCAUGAUCAGCACUUUGGGAAUGAGGUCCUUAACCUCCUGCUAUAUGGUGCCGAAUCACUGGCUGUACAUUUUCUUGAUUCCCUUUCUAAAGCCCUCUUCAUACUUUAUGAAAAGGGUUCUUUUUACAGGCACCAACCAAACAGAAUGUGUGGACCAUUCAGGAGUGGAGUAAAGUCAGAGAGAAAGCACAGCUAUGCAUACCGCAUCAUCUGGCUUCCGAGACAGCUGCAGAACUGUAUGAUCAACAUCACAUGAGGGAGAAAGGUGGAGGUUGAAUAGAAUGUUUUUUCUCAUCUCCAGACCUACGUGAUUGGGUUUAUAGCAGUCGCCUUGUCAUAGAAUGUGAGCAGCAUUUCUCAGAAUCACUUUUGGCCCUUCUCUUAUCAUUAUUUACAGCUAUGCUGUCCAAAUGCAUCAGGUACUUCUCACAUGUGGCUAUUUAAGUUUAUUAAAAUUAAACUUUAGCUUCUCAGUUGCACAAGCCACACUUGAAGUUCUCCAUAGCCACAUAAGGAUAGUGGCUGCUGGACCAGACAGCAUGCAUACAGAACAUUUACAUCUUUGCAGAAAGUUAUAUUGGACACCAAUGAUAUAUAUGCCUUCAGCAAAUAAACACUCCCUGCCAGCACCUGACUGAAAUUCAAAAGUGUAAAAAAGAUUAAGAUGAGAUUCUGCCCUCAAGAGACUCAUGGGUCAUAGAGAAGGCAGACAUGAAAUUAUAUUAUCACCAAACUCUGAGCUUCAGAGGGAGACAGGAAUUAGGUAUUCCAGGCAGAGAUAACAGUAGGUACAAAGGUACAGAAGAAUAAAAAUAUUACAUGUUCAGAGAAUGGGACAAUGCUGGCUGUUCACAUGUAGAUUAUAUGUGUUUCAUGAGUAAACAGGUGGUAAGAGCUGGUUUGAUGAAAUUUUGUCGGCCAUGUUCAUUGGGUAGUUGUUUUAUAAAGGAAAAUUAACCACAACUUGAUCUGUAACUAGUUUUGAUUUCCUCAAAUUUGGUUCCUUGAAAUUAAAUAACCCUUUAACCCAUCUCUGUCAGGAUCUUAUGGCAGAGUCUUUUAAAGAAUUUCGAACCCUGAGCUCCUGUCCUCUCUGUGGCACAUUUUCUUCUUCUUCCAGGCAUUGCCCCCAGGUUCACGUCUCUCAUUGCCACGUUGUAUGGUGGCUAGAAGAUGUCAUAAUGUAUUGUGUAUGUUUGCGUUUAGCUAAGCAAAGGUGUCCAUUACAUUGACAAUAAAGUUGAUGAUCACAAGCAAAAUAAAACAGGGCGAUGCCUUCAAAGAAGCCAUUAGCUAGCUGUGACAACAGGGUCAAGGAAAACUGGUGGAAAGACAGGUGCAAAAGACAGGGACUUGCAGAGUGCUCUUCAGGAGGGAUUCCUGCAGCUCACUGUUGCAAACACAUGCACUUUCUUUCAAACUACAUAAAUCCUCACAACUGAGGUUGAGGUUCCUUUCUCCCUAUUCUAAAUGUAUCUUCAUAACCAGUAAAGAUGUAUGCUAUAAAACCAUUCAAGAAACAUUAAGUGAGCACUUACUAACUGUCAGACUCUUGCUGCCUUCAACGGAGACCAAUUUCAUGGGUCUGCAAUGAUCAUGGGUCACAACCCUGACCUCUGGGAUAUUCAUGACAGAUUUCAAAACCCUUCCAAUGCUAUCUGAUGCAGUCUCAACAUAUCCCUGCUAGGUAGACAAGACCAAGUUUUUAUCCCCAUUUUUACAGAUUGCAAAAUUAAAGUCCAGGGACACAAAGUCACGUCCCAAUAUUGCAUUGAACAAGGGAGCUAGAGUCAGCUCUCUUCUUUCCAAUAUAGAAUCUUAGAGGUGUUCUCCAAAGGAAAGUUACAUAAUUACAGAAAAUUUCCCAAAAUUAAUUUUUC